AGAGAUGGCCUGGUAGGUUCAGUGAUGGCAGUAACGGAAACACGGGAAUUGAUUUCUAUCAUCAAUUCAAGGAAGAUGUGAAGAUCAUGAAGAAAACGGGUUUGGAGGCCUUUAGAUUCUCAAUCUCAUGGUCCAGAGUCUUGCCUAGC